UACGGAGGGUGCGAGCGUUGUCCGGAAUCACUGGGCGUAAAGGGCGCGUAGGCGGCUUCUCAAGCGUGUGGUGAAAGUCCGGGGCUCAACCCCGGAUCGGCCGUGCGGACUGGGGAGCUCGAGUUCUGUAGAGGCGGGUGGAAUUCCGGGUGUAGCGGUGAAAUGCGCAGAUAUCAGGAGGAAAACCAAUUGCGAAGGCAGCUUGCUAAACAAAUAUUGACGCUGAGGCACGAAAGCGUGGGGAUCAAACAGG
rnacentral:rRNA from 1 species